rnacentral:lncRNA from 1 species
UUUAAGAGUUAGGUUUAGGACAAGUGUUUGGUAUAAGGUUUUGAGUUUAGGUUUAGGAUUUAUGAUUAAGAUUUAUGGCUUAGGGGUUAGGAUUAAGGGUUUAGUGUUUUUAAGAUUUAGUGUUUACGAUUUAGGGUUUAGGAUUUAUCGAAGAGUUUAGGGUUUACUUAAGAGUUUUUUACUUAAGGGUUUAGGGUUCAGUUUUUAGGAUUUAAGGUUUAGUAUUUUAAUGACAGCGUUAAACAUA